rnacentral:rRNA from 1 species
AUGGAGGACUGCCUCGACGGCGCCGGCGCCGGCAAUGGCGACGAAGGCAGCAGCAGGUGCGGAGGGGGACUUAAAGGAAGCCAGAGCGCUGGCAUGGAGGAGCAACAACGUCCAGGGAUCGUCGACGACGCCGAGUCCCGCGUGGAGGAGCAACCGCGAACAAAGAGGACGCGGAAGAACAAGGUGACACGGGCACGCGCCGAUCGUUCCGAAUUCUUCCUCGCGCCAAAACCAUAUCCCCGGCUCCACCCAGCGCUCCUCUGGAUCGUCCUCCGUGACGAGACAUACCUCACCUUCCCCCACGGCAAAAUCCACCACUACCAAUGUUACCACAGCUUUGACAGGAUAAGCAAGGUGGUGGUGUCUGAUAAGAUUGUCGCUCUCAUUGCCAGGGACAAGGUCAAAAUCUUUGCUCGCGGGCCGCCACAGGGUUUCGGAACAUGCUCGGCCAAGGUGUGGGAGCCCCCUGGAGAAACCCAUGUCGUUGACAUUGCAAUCUUCAAAGAGAAGCUUUACGUCCUCGCUGCAGAAUAUGGUAAUGGCUGUCUUGAACCACCGGAGCUGCAUGCCUUGGAUACCAGCGACGAGCAGGCCGCUGUCAGCUCCGUCCAAUGCGUAAGCGCCGCACCAAGAGAUCGCGUGGAAUCUGACUCGACUGCCGGCUGCCAACUGGGCAUCUUCUUCUACCUGGUCGCAUCCGGCCAUCAGCUGCUGGUGGUGGAACGGCAGGUCGACGUGGAUCACUGGGACCCCUUUUACGUGAGGGCGAUACGGACCCGGUUCGAGGUCUCGGAGGCGGUGGGCCUGAGCGGCAGCGGCCCUGGGCACUGGAGCAAGGUGGAUACACUGAUGGGGCGUGCUCUGUUUGUCAGCCGAGACUGCUCCGAGUCACUCCCUGCCCAGCCUGGAGCUCGAGAAGACUGCGUCUACGCUAUGACCGAACGGAAUCUGCCUCUUCCGAGAGAGCAGAAGAGGGUCCCUGAGGAUGACCUGUUCGACUGUGUCAUGUACAACGUGAGAGACAAUACAGUGGUGCCAUUGCCAUUUGAGACGGCGGCGACGGAGGCAACUCGCGGGGUAUGGCAUCCUACCUGGCUUUUCCCAGCCAAUGUUUGA